UACCAACUUUGACUGAGUUAU
rnacentral:miRNA from 1 species